ACGGAGGUUGCGAGCGUUGUUCGGAUUAACUGGGCGUAAAGGGAGCGCAGGCGGUUUGAUAAGUCUGAAGUGAAAGCACGGGGCUCAACCCCGAAGGGUCUUCGGAUACUGUCAGACUUGAGUCCGUGAGAGGAGAGCGGAAUUCCAGGUGUAGCGGUGAAAUGCGUAGAUAUCUGGAGGAACACCGGUGGCGAAAGCGGCUCUCUGGCACGGUACUGACGCUGAGGCUCGAAAGCGUGGGGAGCGAACGG
rnacentral:rRNA from 1 species